rnacentral:lncRNA from 1 species
CACCAGCCGAUUUCUCAACUCAGAGCCUCGUGCUGUGUCACUAGGUUCCCCAUCCUCAGCUUCUGAGAGCUGCAGACAUGGGGUAGCCCUGUGACACUCCCCCACACAUGUCCUCUGUCACCCACGUGUGGGCCCUAGUUUCCUUCCCAGACAGCAACUACAGCCAGACAUGCUGAGGCCUGCAGAAUUUCUCUUCCCACAUGAAUGACUGGGCCACUCUAUGCACAGCACAGCCCUGUGAGCAAUAAAAACCUUAACUAAGACACAGAUCCAUCAUCAAGGGCAGAUGAGGCAGAAACCAUGAAGGAAUGCUGCUAACUGGCUUGCUUCCUCUGGCUUGCUCACCUACCUUUCUUAUACCACCCAUGCCCACCUGCUCAGGAGUGACUCCAACCCACAGUGGGAGCCUUCUCACGUCAAUCAGCAACCAAGAAAACAUGCUACAGUCUUGCCCACAGGCCAAUCGGAUGGAGGCAGUUCCUCAGUGGAGAGUCCUCUCUUCCCAGGGUUGUGACCAUCUGGCCUUGAUGGAGCCGCUUCCAACCACAACAACCUCCCUUCUGUCCCUCUGUACACUACAAGUCCUGGGAUCCUGGACAAGCAAGGGUACAAGACCGGACUGGCCCAGGAGAGACAUACCAGACAGUGUCCCCAGGUGACCUAGUGCCUCUGUGGAGCAGGCAGGAAGUGUUGUUGCCUGGCCACCCAGCCACCCACAGCCAUCUGCUCAGCUCCCUGGAAACACCCCUGUGGUCUCCGAGAUUACUCAGCAGUCCCCAGCUUCCUGUUCGGUGGGCUGGUUUGUGUCUCUUUUUGCUUUGUUUAUUUGCUUUUUAUGUGUGUUUCAAAAUUUCAAGUGGUGCAGUGAAAAGGAACAGGAGGGACAGAACUGAAUAUUAGUGGCCAGUAAAGUAACUAUCCACCAAGACUAGGGUUUGUUCCCAGGCUUCCUGUGGGGAAAUUAACCCCCAACUGUGAAGCACAAAUUGGGAGGCCACUUAAUACCAUUCUAGUGGUUAGAGAUGGGGCCUUGGGAAUAGAAGAGGUUUUGGUGCUGUCACUGGGAUGAACCUCAGGCAUGAAUCUUCCUGGAUCUAUAGGAACAGAGAGAGAAGGCAAAUACAUGUGUGCACAUCCACACAGGGUAUUUUGCACCAUUUGACCACGUGUACCACCCACGUAUCCAUAAUGACACCACGAAAUACCACUCUCAAUCUUAGAACAAAGCCAGGACCAAAAUAAACCUAUUUAUUUACUCAUGCAGUCGUCCAUUUGAAUGUUUUUGAGACAGGGUCUCUUGUUAUCCAGGUGAUCCUCGAACCUGGUAUAUAGGCAGAAUGACCUUGAACUACUGGUUUCUUGCUUCCACUUCCAGAAUGUUGGGAUUAAGCACUACACCUGAUUUAUGUUAUGCUGUGG